GCUAACAAAAAGCAGAGGAGCUCUAUCCGUUAGAGUUCUCCCUUCCUUCGAGGAACAGUGAUGUUGAAUCAACGCUGGACUCACUCGUGAAACCCCCGUUGAGUAGUAUGUUUGUGUGGAGAAACCAUCGCUGACAGAUUCCAUUACACUGGAUAGAAUCA